GGAAGAGAGGACAGCAGAGGAAACUGAGACAGAUUGUGGAAGAAAGGAGUCAAUCUGUCUCAGUUUCCUCUGCUGUCCUUUCUUCCUCA
rnacentral:pre_miRNA from 1 species